UACAGAGGGUGCAAGCGUUAAUCGGAAUUACUGGGCGUAAAGCGCACGUAGGCGGUUUUUUAAGUCAGAUGUGAAAGCCCCGGGCUCAACCUGGGAAUUGCAUUUGAAACUGGCCAACUAGAGUACGUGAGAGGGGGGUAGAAUUCCAAGUGUAGCGGUGAAAUGCGUAGAGAUUUGGAGGAAUACCAGUGGCGAAGGCGGCCCCCUGGCACGAUACUGACGCUCAGGUGCGAAAGCGUGGGGAGCAAACAGG
rnacentral:rRNA from 1 species